GUGAGGAAUAUUGGUCAAUGGGCGAGAGCCUGAACCAGCCAAGUCGCGUGAAGGAAGAAGGAUCUAUGGUUCGUAAACUUCUUUUGCAGGGGAAUAAAGUGCAGGACGUGUCCUGUUUUGUAUGUACCCUGAGAAUAAGGAUCGGCUAACUCCGUGCCAGCAGCCGCGGUAAUACGGAGGAUCCGAGCGUUAUCCGGAUUUAUUGGGUUUAAAGGGUGCGUAGGUGGGUUGAUAAGUCAGCGGUGAAAGUUUGCAGCUUAACUGUAAAAAUGCCGUUGAAGCUGUCGGACUUGAGUGUCAAUGAGGUAGGCGGAAUGCGUGGUGUAGCGGUGAAAUGCAUAGAUAUCACGCAGAACUCCGAUUGCGAAGGCAGCUUACUAAGCUACAACUGACACUGAAGCACGAAAGCGUGGGGAUCAAACAGGAUUAGAAACCCUAGUAGUCC
rnacentral:rRNA from 1 species